rnacentral:rRNA from 1 species
GAACAAUUUACUAUGCAAAAUAGUUUAAAACUUUCAACAACGGAUCUCUUGGUUCUGGCAUCGAUGAAGAACGCAGCGAAAUGCGAUAAGUAAUGUGAAUUGCAGAAUUCAGUGAAUCAUCGAAUCUUUGAACGCACAUUGCGCCCAUUAGUAUUCUAGUGGGCAUGCCUAUUCGAGCGUCAUUUCGACCCUUAAGCCCUGUUGCUUAGCGUUGGGAGUCUGCGGCUUCGGCCGCAGUUCCUUAAAGUCAGUGGCGGAGCUGUGGCACACUCUAGGCGUAGUAGUUUUACCGCCUCGCCUCCAGAGUGGCCCCGGCUGCCUGCCGUAAAACCCCUAAUUUUCUAGUGGUUGACCUCGGAUUAGGUAGGAAUACCCGCUGAACUUAAGCAUAUCAAUAAGCGGAGGAAAAGAAACCAACAGGGAUUGCCCUAGUAACGGCGAGUGAAGCGGCAACAGCUCAAAUUUGAAAUCUGGCCCUCGCGGUCCGAGUUGUAAUUUGCAGAGGAUGCUUUUGGUGCGGUGCCUUCCGAGUUCCCUGGAACGGGACGCCAGAGAGGGUGAGAGCCCCGUACGGUUGGACACCUACCCUAUAUAUAGCUCCUUCGACGAGUCGAGUAGUUUGGGAAUGCUGCUCUAAAUGGGAGGUAAAUUUCUUCUAAAGCUAAAUACCGGCCAGAGACCGAUAGCGCACAAGUAGAGUGAUCGAAAGAUGAAAAGCACUUUGAAAAGAGGGUUAAAUAGCACGUGAAAUUGUUGAAAGGGAAGCGUUUGCGACCAGACUUUUUCCAGGCGGAUCAUCCGGUGUUCUCACCGGUGCACUUCGCCUGGUUUAGGCCAGCAUCGGUUUCCUUAGGGGGAUAAAGGCCUGGGGAACGUAGCUCU